AUUUCCGAUCUCCCAACCGUCCAGGAAGAAGGUUCCUCACAGUAACAGAUAUUCCACACUCUUCAGUUGGAUGUUUAGAUUCAAGGCAACAUGAAGCAACCAACAUGGAGGAGCAAAUAUUGAAGCUUUUGAUUAAAGGGCAACAUUAAAGACAUGGCUGUGGCAAGAUACCAAAUGCCACUUCUUCGCGAGAUUGAGGGUCCCUUGAAGUUUAAAUGUGAUUAACUAGCUGAUGCUAUUAUAGA